rnacentral:sRNA from 1 species
ACGACGACAUCGACAUCUCCGACAACCAACGUCAUCUCGUGAAAUCAACACCACUGCCGGAUUCCAACCUCCUUCGACGAACAUAGGACUUUUUUCCCGUCAGCCAUCGUCUCCUCCUUUCCCCACCGAGUUCUCUUUUUCUCGACAUGGAGAAGAUGGAGCUUGCCUUUCGAUGACAAAAUCAAACUCAGAUUCUGACUACUUUGAUGGCUACCUCCGGCGAAAGCAACUGCAAACCUUCACCUUUUCUUGGUUGCUCUCCGUUCUGGUGAAACAAGAGACUUCUCUUCGUCUCUCAUCCAGGCCUCUCGUCCGUGACACAUCACAACAUCACAAUCAUCUUCACCAUCAAUUAACUCCGGCUGCGUUUAACUCCGCCGAAUCGGACCGCCACCAUCACCGCACAACUCAUGUCUCCAUUGGUGAGCUCCACCUCUUUUCCCGCGAAUCCGACCAUUGAUUCCUCUGCAAAUCUCAGGUUUCUUCCGACGAGCUCCAUCUUCCACUGUCACUUCCAGAAAUCCAAAGUUUUCUCGCUGAAACUUUCAUGGAACCUAUCACUUUCUAACACGGCUCCAAAAUAUUCCGAGGUAGCUUCUUCACAGUCCUGCAAGAUCAAGUCACAAACACUAGGACUGUUUCUCCAAUGAACAACGAAGCCUUCAUCUGUUAAGAUGAGCUCCGCUCCUUUGAUGAACUGGUGUUCUUUUUCUCCUUGAUGACUUCAGAAACUCCACAUGGAAUCAGAAUCUGCAGCUCCACCUGGAAUAUAAGUCUCCUCACCGUAUUUCCAGGCGCCUACAGCGUACAAUAUCGAUAGUGGAGUUACCUGGAGCUGUGUCGUCCUCCUUACGAUGUUGAGGAGAUCGUAGCAAGCAUGAAAGUCCUCUCCAUCUAUUGCUUGAGUCAUAACAUCUGUUGGUUCAAUUGUUUUUAGUAUCUUGUUUAGGACAACAUCUCCUUUGGAUACCAAAUCUGUGAUGAUCUGAAAUCUUGUGUCCAUAAGUUCGGUUCCCGAUUCCUUCCCUUCUGUAGUUAAGCUCAUUAAUCUGAAAUGAGAUGUAGUUGGUACC